UUUGACGCGGCGGACAUUUUCGGUUAUCCGUACACAAAUUUUCCAACCAUCGUGAAAUAUUUUCAGACAAUUUAAAAUGUUUCUCAGUGCCGAAUUAAUGUCUUUUACCUUUUGGCAGUGCCCGACCUUCAUGGAGAUAAUAUAUCAUGAUAAAAUAUUGGCGUCAGGAUGCAACAUUUCCGAAUUUUGACAAUUACUAAUGGUUUACCUGUCUAGCAACAGCUUCACUAAUCCGUCAGGCAGCCACUUUCAUUUCUUAAAGCCAGCCACCGGGCAUAUUCCUCGCCGCACACAAGCUUAAGAUGUUUGCUAUCUCGUUUUUGUCAAUCGACCUCCGUUUAUUAGCUGAAGAUUGAAGGGGUCUUCCAACUUUUCUUUUACUUCGUCCACCUUCUAGUGCAUGUUCUAAGCACGUGUUCAUUUUGAUGUAUGACUACGUGCAUACACUGCUAGCGCUGCAUAUGACCGCAUUCACCUGGCCUAUCUAGUCCCACCGCACUUCACUAGGCUGAACGGCUGCUGCAGCUAAAGUGCUAAGCGCAGCACGCGGCUGUGGAAGUAUGCACGUUUAAUUCGGUAGUUGUGGAUAUUUCUCAUUAUUUUCAUUAAUCUAAAACAGCGGCGGUGUUUUUCCCUAUUUUAUUCUUCACUCAACCGAUGAACGCACACGCUUUUUUGGUGAAUGUUUUCCAAGGAAUAUCUCACCGACUGGAAUCACAACUAGCACCCAAGCAGCUCAACUUUUUGGGGUCGCAAAAGUGGACCCAGAAAGUCUUUCUCGCAUGCCUAACACAAGAAUAACACAACAACGCCCAGUUGUUAAAGGAUAGUUGUGUGGAUGUUUAUAUCCUACUUUUAUAUGUUCUUUCAGAUUAACAUCAGUUCGUUCAAAGCGCGUUUUUUAGCCCAAUUGGGUGCAUCCAGGAUGCAGUGUCCCUUUAAAAACGGCAUAUCCACCUCACAGCAGUCAACAAUUGUUAAAUGUUAAAUGUGCACAUUUCUUCUACCAGUGUACAUUGGCUGGCUUUCACUAUGUGACUUUUGUUGCAAAGUUAGCAACUGAGGUUUCAGCCUCUACAGAAGUAGAGAAUUGAGAACCAAUAUAUGCAUUACUGACUUGGUUUAUUCUGCCUACAAGUGUAUGUAGCGGAUGAUGUCAGUAUUACACAAUAAAGAGGAGAAUGCUGGAAGAGGUUUGUUUCAGAACACUUUGUCAGAGCCAGCAAAAUAUUCACAGCGGGAACAGUGACAUACAUUACAAGGUGAUCGGAUUUGUCAAAGGUUGAACCAAACCUUUCUCCCAAAUUGUUUCUUCUUACGUGUUGCUUGGAUCACAAAGAAUCUGGAUGUAGUCCUCCAUUUCUUCUGCAAGAACAUUUUUCAAGAUUACGUAGGAUUCUUUGUAUUUGAAACCUACAUCAUAUCGGACGUAAAGUCUUUUAAUAAAUUGAGUUUUGUAAUAUAUUAAUGUAUUCAUGAUAAUGAAGAUGGCACUUUGCAACAGGCAUUUCCUCCUAUACCAACAGGCCCACUUGAGCUUGUUGUGUGCUACGCUCCUCCAUGGAAUGUUUCACAGAAAAUGCUACACAAGGCUCUAGAACUAGGCAGGAGCAGACUGCUCCUGUCCCAUGACACAUCAUGUACCAAACAAAGAAAGUCUGGCACAUAGCCGGCUUCUCCGUAGCUGUGAACUUACUUUAAUCAUCAAGUAACAAUAAUAACAAUUUUGUUUUGAAUGACAGAAGCAAAGAAAAACCGACUCUGGAAAGAAGUGUAUGAAGAAAGAGACAGUUUGGUAGAAAGUGGUGAAUGUGUCUAAAGAUGAGGUUAAUACUUUUGUGCCCGCCCUUUUGUUGGUGGAUGGGGGGGGGGGGCAUCACGUCAAAGGGGGCCAUGUCCUCAUCCCCCCGCCUCAUUUUUUUUAAAUUGGAGGACUGAAGACAUUUUGUUAUUUUUUACUUUUACCAGUGCGUAUCUCCCUCACAAGCCAAGAGCUACACAUUUUAAUUGUAAUUGCCCUCCUCCCCUUAUGGGCACAUAGCCGGCUUCUCCUUAGGUGCUUUGCAUGUGUUAAAAACGGCAUAUCCCACAUCACAGCAGUCAACAAUUGUUAAAUACAUGUAUUGGAAUAUUAAAUGUCCACAUUUCUCCGACCAGUGUACAUUUGGCUGGCUUUCACUAAGCAACUUUUGUUGCAUGUCAAAGUUAGCAACUGAGGGUUCAACCUCGACAGAAGUAGAUGUUGUAUUUGGCUGUCUUACCGGAGAUUCCAACAAGGCUGGCUGGGUUGAGUCUUUGGAAUCGAGGGAACGGAUACAAUAAUACAAGGUGUUUACUGGAAGGUGCUGUUCUCAAGACUAACACAUGUUCAGCUGGGCAGCUCAGGAGACACCCAGCUGCGCCAUGCUUCAGUGACUUUAUUCAUGCUUUACUACGCUUCAGUGGCUAGGGGUGGCAACAUAUCCACUUUUGAAAAAGUGACAAUGUGAUUGGAUUUUUCAAAGGUUGAAACAAACCUUUGCCGCCAUUUUGUUCUUUGUCGUUUGUUGCUUGGAUCACAAAGAAUCUGGAUGUUUGCUCUCCAUUUCUUCUGCAAGAACAUUUUCCAGGAUUACGUAGGAUUCUGGGCAUUGGAAAUCUACAUGUACAUCAUAUCAUAUGUGAAGUCUUUGAUAAAUUGAGGGUUUGUAGUAUAUUCUGCAUUCAUGAUAUACCGGUAGAAGAUACCACUUUGCAACGGGCUUUUCCUCCUAAACCAACAUGCCCACUUGAGCUUUGUUGUCACAUUCCUCCUUGGAACCUUUUUGCAAAAAGGGCACAUGUGUUUAUCAUCUGACACAUUGAACACAAAUGACAAUCAAAUCAAACCUCUGGUUCCUGCUACUACAGAUACUCAUUACCAGAUAACAUAUCUUCUUGCAUUCUUCUCGUCAGAAGUUCUUCUCCAUCAAGUACAACAGGUUGUGGAUCAGGUUUCUAGCCAGGAUGAAAUUAUAGCGUAGGGGUAUUUGCACGAGAUGAAUCUGCGAGCGCAAAGCCCUUACGGCGUGGGGUCCGGGGCCCGCCUAAGGGCCCCGAAAAAUUUUGAACCCCAAGAUGCUCUGUGGUGCAUUCUGAGGCAUUUCUGAAGCUUAUACUUGAAUAUUUAUGGGAAUAUUUCUUACCUUUUUUUCUGCAUUUCUGUGAAAAAAAUCUAUCAAAAUGACAAGUCCAGCAAUGGCAAAGUUUGAACAUAAUUCUCAAGCCUUUAAUUACUUCCUCAGAUUUUCUCUUAAUUGUCUUGGCAAGGAAGAAAAUCACAAUAAAA